GUCGCACGAGAAAGGGGAGCAAUCCCUGAGUACAGUGGCGCACGGGUGAGUAACACGUGAAUGAUCUACCUCCGAGUGGGGAAUAACUGAGAGAAAUCUUAGCUAAUACCGCAUAACACUUACGAGUCAAAGCAGCAAUGCGCUUGGAGAGGAGUUCGCGGCCGAUUAGUUAGUUGGCGGGGUAAUGGCCCACCAAGACGAUGAUCGGUAUCCGGCCUGAGAGGGCGCACGGACACACUGGAACUGAAACACGGUCCAGACUCCUACGGGAGGCAGCAGUGGGGAAUUUUGCGCAAUGGGGGAAACCCUGACGCAGCAACGCCGCGUGGAGGAUGAAGUAUCUUGGUAUGUAAACUCCUUUCGAUGGGGAAGAUUAUGACGGUACCCAUAGAAGAAGCCCCGGCUAACUUCGUGCCAGCAGCCGCGGUAAUACGAGGGGGGCAAGCGUUGUUCGGAUUUAUUGGGCGUAAAGGGUGCGUAGGCGGUUUGGCAAGUCUGAUGUGAAAUCUAUGGGCUCAACCCAUAGUCUGCAUCAGAAACUGCCGGGCUUGAGUAUGGGAGAGGUGAGUGGAAUUUCCGGUGUAGCGGUGAAAUGCGUAGAUAUCGGAAGGAACACCUGUGGCGAAAGCGGCUCACUGGACCAUAACUGACGCUGAUGCACGAAAGCUAGGGGAGCAAACAGGAUUAGAUACCCUGGUAGUCCUAGCCCUAAACGAUGAUUG
rnacentral:rRNA from 1 species